rnacentral:rRNA from 1 species
GGCCCUUCUCGGUUGUAUACCUCUUUUAUUAGGGAAGAAGGGAGCUUCGGUUCUUGACGGUACCUGCAGAAAAUGCAUCGGCUAACUACGUGCCAGCAGCCGCGGUAAUACGUAUGGUGCAAGCGUUGUCCGGAAUUAUUGGGCGUAAAGAGCUCGUAGGCGGUUUGUCGCGUCUGCUGUGAAAUCCCGAGGCUCAACCUCGGGCUUGCAGUGGGUACGGGCAGACUAGAGUGCGGUAGGGGAGAUUGGAAUUCCUGGUGUAGCGGUGGAAUGCGCAGAUAUCAGGAGGAACACCGAUGGCGAAGGCAGAUCUCUGGGCCGUAAACUGACGCUGAGGAGCGAAAGCAUGGGGAGCGAACAGGAUUAGAUACCCUGGUAGUCCAUGCCGUAAACGUUGGGCGCUAGAUGUAGGGACCUUUCCACGGUUUCUGUGUCGUAGCUAACGCAUUAAGCGCCCCGCCUGGGGAGUACGGCCGCAAGGCUAAAACUCAAAGGAAUUGACGGGGGCCCGCACAAGCGGCGGAGCAUGCGGAUUAAUUCGAUGCAACGCGAAGAACCUUACCAAAGGCUUGACAUACACCGGAACGGCCAGAGAU